rnacentral:tRNA from 17 species
GCGGGUGUAGCUCAGUUGGUUAGAGUGCCGACCUGUCACGCCGGAGGUCGCGGGUUCGAGCCCCGUCACUCGCGCCA